rnacentral:rRNA from 1 species
UGCAUGUGCAAGCGAAGCCGGUGGUGGAGCGGCGCAAGGCUCAGUAACGGGCGACUGAUUUGAUCUCCCGGUGUGGACAACCUCUGUAACCGGAGGCCAAAACACAGGAGGCGCGUGACACGGGCACGGGCGUGCAACCGGCAGGUGCGGGAGAGUAAGGAGCCAUCCCAUCAGUUAGUAAGUAGGGUAAGGGCCUACUUAGACGAAGACGGGUACGGGGAAUUAGAGUUCGAUUCCGGAGAGGGAGCCUGAGAGACGGCUACCAGGUCCAAGGACAGCAGCAGGCGCGGAAAUUACCGAAGCCCGCGUUCGGGGCGGUAGUAAGGAGACGUGAAUACGAUGUGCAGGUAAAAUAUGCACUGGUAACAGGAGGUCAAGACUGGUGCCAGCAUCCGCGGUAAUACCAGCUCCUGGAGUGUCUAUGAUGAUUGUUGCAGUUAAAGAGUUCGUAGUCGGGCUGCAUGACCGGCGCUGAAGGCUCCCUAUCGAGGGGGGCAGGGCGCCGGAAAAGCAGAGGAUGAGGAGCGGCCGGGGGCCAGGUUAUUAAGCGACGAGAGGUGAAAUUUGAUGACUCGCUUAGGAGCAGCAGAGGCGAAAGCGCUGGCCAGGGGCGAAUCCGAUGAUAAAGGACGUAGGCUAGAGGAUCGAAGACGAUUAGAGACCGUUGUAGUUCUAGCAGUAAACGAUGCCGAUGCCGUGGGGCGGUGCAGCCGCCACGCGGAGGAGAAAUUGAGUAGGGCCCUGGGGAGAGUACACGCGCAAGCGAGAAAUUUAAAGGAAAUUGACGGAAGAACACCCCAAG